CCUACGGGAGGCAGCAGUGAGGAAUAUUGGUCAAUGGGCGCAAGCCUGAACCAGCCAAGUCGCGUGAGGGAAGACGGCCCUACGGGUUGUAAACCUCUUUUGCCGGGGAGCAAGCCUGGGCACGUGUGCCCACGCGGAGAGUACCCGGAGAAAAAGCAUCGGCUAACUCCGUGCCAGCAGCCGCGGUAAUACGGAGGAUGCGAGCGUUAUCCGGAUUUAUUGGGUUUAAAGGGUGCGCAGGCGGGCUGUUAAGCCGGCGGUAAAAAUUCAGGGCUCAACCCUGUCGGGCCGUCGGAACUGGCAGCCUUGAGUGGGCGAGAAGUAGGCGGAAUGCGUGGUGUAGCGGUGAAAUGCAUAGAUAUCACGCAGAACGCCGAUUGCGAAGGCAGCAUACCGGCGCCCGACUGACGCUGAGGCACGAAAGCGUGGGGAUCGAACAGGAUUAGAUACCCCUGUAGUC
rnacentral:rRNA from 1 species